CCAAGAUCGUGUUUGACGGUCCGAUGAAGAUCAUGUCUGCAAUCGCUGCGAUUUGUGGUGUGGACUAAGUCGGCUUUUGAGCAGGAUCUAUGGACCGUUUGAGAAGCCGUCGGAGAAGGAGAAGGGGUAUGUGCUUCCCAGGGCUGAUGGUGAAAAUGGUGAAAACUGUCACGUGAGCAGACUUGGAAGAAGAGCUUCGUCUGCUGGCAUCUUACAGAGGCCAAACAGUGACCAAAACUGUGCGAGGCAUGAUGUAUUACCGAAAGGCUUUGGAGCUUCAGGCCUUCCUUGAUAUGGCAAAGGAUGAAGGUGCCUCACGAAACUUUGUUAUGAUUACUUCUAAAACAUCUGUACAAAUUCCUGAAUCUGCUUUCCCCAAAAGAGAGAAUAUUGAAAAAAUGGAACAUGUUCAUGAUGUUCAAUAUGCAAUUUGAUGAGUUGCAUCAGAGACAAUCACAAUGGACGGUUCCAGACACAGAGCUAAGAGAGUCACUAAGACUUGCUGUUGCUGAAGUAUUAUUGCCUGCUUAUAGAUCAUUCCUCAAACGCUUUGGGCCUCUGGUUGAGAGUGGUAAGAAUUCUCAGAGAUACAUAAAGUAUACAGCUGAAGAUCUCGAGAGAUUGCUGGAUGAGUUGUUUGAAGGAAAGUCUAUGAACGAACCACGACGGUAAAAUCAAACUAUCAAAGCUCAUUUUGUAAGGUAAAUUUCUGUCAAGCUACUUCACUUCUGUCUCCGUUGUAUAUGAAGUGUCAACAAUUUGUGUUUGUUUGUUUGUAUUUUUCUUAGUGAUGAGUGUGUAAAUUACUUGGAAACGAGUUAUUUCUCUUUUGUAUAACGUUUACGUAUCAAGCUUUGAGCUAAAACCUGAUCUCUGUCAGAAAGUAUCACGCUUUGAGCUUGAUGAUUCUCUAGUUCAUUGUGUUCUUCCCAGAUUUUAGGUAGAAGAUGGAGCAAUUCAAAGAGAGGAAGUUCGCAGAGAAUGUGGUAAAGGUGUCACUUCUUCUAAAGCUCUUUGUGGUCACAUGGCUUGUCACUUUGAGAGAGAGAAGAUGGUGUCAUGUUCUCAUUUUUUUCAGGUCAAGAAGAGUGUAAAGUCAUCAGUCAUCAGUCAUUAGUCACUAGUCACGGACUUGUGUAGUAAUCACUUGUGCAAUGCUUACGUACUAACUCUUGUAGUCUUGUAUUCUUGCAAACUCUUGUAGUCACCAGUCACAGACUUGUAAAGUUUUGUGUCUAUAUAAACUUGUGAACUCUUGUAGUCUUGUGAACUCUUGCAGUCUUGUCUAUAUAAACUUUGUAUACCAAACUUUUAUUCACAACACAACACUCUUCUUCA